rnacentral:rRNA from 1 species
CAAUGCCGCGUGUGUGAAGAAGGCCUUCGGGUUGUAAAGCACUUCGGUGGGACAAACAAGGCGGAGCUAACAUCUCCGUCCCUGAUGGUACCCAAAGAAGAAGCACCGGCUAACUCUGUGCCAGCAGCCGCGGUAAUACAGAGGGUGCAAGCGUUAAUCGGAAUUACUGGGCGUAAAGCGUGCGUAGGUGGUUUGUUAAGUCAGGUGUGAAAUCCUCGGGCUCAACCCGGGAACUGCGCUUGAUACUGACAGACUCGAGUGUGGUAGAGGAUAGUGGAAUUCCCGGUGUAGCGGUGAAAUGCGUAGAUAUCGGGAGGAACAUCAGUGGCGAAGGCGGCUAUCUGGACCAACACUGACACUGAGGUACGGAAGCGUGGGUAGCAAACAGGAUUAGAUACCCUGGUAGUCCACGCCCUAAACGAUGGGUACUAGACGUCGGGAAGCUUGUCUUCUUGGUGUCGCAGCUAACGCAAUAAGUACCCCGCCUGGGGAGUACGGUCGCAAGAUUA